rnacentral:snoRNA from 1 species
AACGUGAUGAAGUCUCAAUCAGCACUGCUUCUGACAUUUGAUGAUUCAAACAGCUGACA